CGGCCGGAUGUGUCUCUCGUUAAAUCCACGGGCUUAACCCGUGGGCUGCGGAAGAUACCACAGGGCUAGGGGCGGGAGAGGUGGACGGUACUCCAAGGGUAGGGGUAAAAGUACCUCUGAUCCUUGGAAGACCACCGGUGGCGAAGGCGGUCCACCAGAACGCGCCCGACGGUGAGGGAUGAAAGCUGGGGGAGCGAACCGGAUUAGAUACCCGGGUAGUCCCAGCCGUAAACGAUGCGAGCUAGGUGACAGAAUGGCCUAAGAGCCAUUCUGCUGCCGCAGGGAAGCCGUUAAGCUCGCCGCCUGGGGA
rnacentral:rRNA from 1 species